rnacentral:rRNA from 1 species
UGAACCUGCGGAGGGAUCAUUAUAGAGUUUAUAAAACUCCCAAACCCAUGUGAACUUACCUUUGUUGCCUCGGCGGAGCCUACCCUGUAGCUACCCUAUAAGGUGGUUACCCUGUAGCGCCCCGCCGGUGGAAUUUCAAACUCUUGUUAUUUACAAUGAAUCUGAGCGUCUUAUUUUAAUAAGUCAAAACUUUCAACAACGGAUCUCUUGGUUCUGGCAUCGAUGAAGAACGCAGCGAAAUGCGAUAAGUAAUGUGAAUUGCAGAAUUCAGUGAAUCAUCGAAUCUUUGAACGCACAUUGCGCCCAUUAGUAUUCUAGUGGGCAUGCCUGUUCGAGCGUCAUUUCAACCCUUAAGCCUAGCUUAGUGUUGGGAAUCUACUAUAUUGUAGUUCCUGAAAAACAACGGCGGAACUGUAGUGUCCUCUGAGCGUAGUAAUUCUUUAUCUCGCUUUUGUCAGGUGCUAUAGCUCUUGCCGCUAAACCCCCAAUUUCUUAUGGUUGACCUCGGAUCAGGUAGGAAUACCCGCUGAACUUAAGCAUAUCAAUAAGGCGGAGGA